UCUCAUCAUGGAAACAUGGUGGGAUGACUCACACAACUGGAAUGCUGCGAUGGAUGGCUAUAAACUCUUCAGCAGAGACUGGCAAAGGAGAGGUGGUGGGGUAGCUCUGCUUGAGUGAGCACGUCCCUGGAGAGUGUGUUCCAGUGAAGACCUUUUCCUGAUAUCCAACCUAAACAUUCCCUGACUCAGCUUCAUGCCAUUUCCUUGGGUCCUGUCACUGGUUACAAGAGUGAAGAGAUCAGUGCCUGCCCCUUCACCCCGCCUUUUACCACAUGUCUGCUGCAAAUACAAGACAGUGGAGAGGAAAGAAAUCUGGAAAUUCUUGGAGUAUGUGGAAGAGAACUUCCUGAGACAACUGGUGAGGGGGUCAACUUGGGAACGCACCAACUGGAUCUGCUAUCUGUGAACAGAGAAGGAUUUUUGGUUGCCAAAGGCCAUCUUGGGCAAAGUGAUCAUGAAAUAAUAGAGCUGUCAAUUCCUUAGAAGAUUCUCAGUUCUCAAAGAACCUCAGGUUUCUGGAUGUCAGACU